rnacentral:rRNA from 1 species
AAGAUUAAGCCAUGCAUGUCUAAGUAUAAGCAAUCUAUACAGUGAAACUGCGAAUGGCUCAUUAAAUCAGUUAUCGUUUAUUUGAUAAUACUUUACUACUUGGAUAACCGUGGUAAUUCUAGAGCUAAUACAUGCUUAAAAUCUCGACCCUUUGGAAGAGAUGUAUUUAUUAGAUAAAAAUCAAUGUCUUCGGACUCUUUGAUGAUUCAUAAUAACUUUUCGAAUCGCAU